CUAUGCCUGGUCUACCCAGUGCCUCCUCACUUGCCUGGCCCAUCCCCUAGCCAUGCCAUAGCCCUUUGGGUUGGAUUAGCUCCAGCCAACUCCUUGCAUGCUAAGUAAAAAUGGCCAGGACCGUGAGAAGUUCAGUGGAGGUGAAAAGUAUCCCUCCUCUGAGGGAAAUGAACAUGAGGAGGUGUUGAUGGAAAUUAGAAAAAGAGAUAACAGGCUAACUAACAUUUAUUAUCAUUAUCAGUAAAUAAAACGGGAAUGAAAAUGCCUGAAAUUGUUCUGCUGCCACAUGCUCAAUGAACUUCCCCCUAGAAAGGAAAGACUGGAGUGUAUAAUUUCAAUGAAAUACACUUGUUGUAAUUUACUAGGGUACUAGGGCUGUUUAAGCGAAAGGAAGUCUCACUGAAAUUUGUUUAUUUGUUUGUUUGCCUUGUCUUAUAUACUGCCUUUUGCCAGUAAGGCCCCAGGACAUUUUACUUCAAUAUAAACAUAUUGAAAACAAUAGAAUUAAAUACAAACAAAAUAUAAUCAGAAUAAUGCCAUAACUCUAAGAACAGCAGAAAAAGGCGGCAUCAAAUUAUUUGUCAGCUAACAAUUCUUCACCACACCUCUCCUCCAGAAUCCUGACAAAAGAGACGUUAACCCAUUUCCAAAAAUAAUAUAUUGGAGAAGUCAGAUGUACCUUAGUGGGAAAUGAAUUUCACCACAAAACACACACUCUUCCCUGAGCUGCUGUUUUUUUUCUGUGCAGGGACCACUCAGAGGGACUUCGUCUGCAAAUCUCAAGGCAUGAAUAGCAGGUAUUCUCUGAUAUAUUUAGGCCCUAGGCAUUAAGGGCUUUAAGUCUAAGCACCUUGAGCACAAUCUGCACCCAAUGUAUUUGUAAAAUUGAGAUUGUGUACACCUAACCCGUUGCCCCCAUCAGCACCCUGGUGGCUGCAUUUUGCACCAAUCUCAAUUACUGAACCAUUUUCAAGGGCAGCCCCAUGUAGAAUGCAUUACAGUAGUCUAAACUGGAGGUUAGCAGGGCAUUGGUGACUGUGACCUGUUAGUGGUGUUUUUCAGUAAACCUACAGUAGACUGGGCUGCAAGACUGAACCUUAGCGUGCACAACCAUACAUAAGAACAAAAUAUAUUUGAUGCACGAUGUGUGUAGUGAUUUCAAACCAUGAUAAAUGCUAGACAAGACAAACUGACAUCCUAUCAUCAAAUCCAGCACAACACAACUGCUGUAAGGCUGUACCCGAUUAAAAGCCAGGAAUGUUCCCAUUCCCUUCAUGUACUAUUAUAAUCCAUGUGCUAAUAUUUCACAUGGAAGAUGCAAAUACAGGAUGCCAGCUGUAUUUACAAGACUGAUUAUUUAUUGAAUUUAAAACUUCUUUUUUUUUUUUUUACCUUCCCUUCCCUUCCCUUCGUAUCCAAAAGGCUCCCUAGGCAGUUUACAAGAAAACAAAGAGUUCUAUAAAGCAAGGAUGAAAACAGUACAGCCAAAAAAAGGUUGCAGUAAUAAUUAGCAACUGCAAAUAUAAGAUUAGCAAAAGUGGAGUGAUAUGGUCAGCACCUUUCCUGGACUACUUCAGAGUAACCAAGGUUUCACUUCCUUCCCAAAAGUCAAAUGGGUGCUCCUCAGAGUGAGGCAUCCACAAGCAGGGUGCUACAAGAGGAUAGUCCAUAAUUUAAGAAUCUAGGCCUUUCCACCUUCCUGUAUUCUUCAGGGCAAAGUGACUUAUUUGCACAGUACUUUAUUUAAAUAAAAAUGUCAGAGAAUGUGAAAUUGGUUGUAGUUUGAUCUUUGAGGAAUGUUGAAGAAAUCUCUUUAGGCCGCUGCCUCUCCCAGUAGGGCUGGUAAAGAGAUUAUAGGCCUAGUGCACAGAAAAACGCCAGGCCUCUGGGCCUAGCACGCUAAUCCAUACAAAGGAUAACAGAGGCCUAAUUAAUUCUCAUGUCUCGGAAUCUGAUAACAGCACUGCACACAGGCAAGUCCGUAAGGACUUAAUGAGUUUAAUCGACUGCACUUGAUGAUUUUAUUUGAAACCCUGUGCCACAAAUUAAACUAUUAAAAAUGCACUUGAACUUGAUUGGCAGCUGUAAUCCCAACAAAGUCUAUUUAAUCCGCUGAGUCAGAGAGUGGGGCCCAGACACAACUUUUGUCAUGCUCCAGAGAAAGAUACGGAGGGAAUGUGAGGUUUCAGAAAGCUUGUUUUAUGGCAACAAGAGAUAGAUGAAUUCAGCGAGGAAGACCAACCAAGCAGCUACUUGGUUUUUGACGGGGGUGGCAGAAGCAGAAAUAACGCAGAUGGUGUGCAAUGUUCACGGCCGGAAGCAGUUAAUGUGAAAAACUGGCUUGAAUAUGUUUGUCUGGGAAUGUUGAAGGAAACUGUGCAAGGUAGCCUUUGGGAAAUCUUGGUAGGGAUUGCACAUACUUAUACUGUAUCAUGCAAACAGUGCACGGUAUCCAACAAAGUAUUUCCAUUAGUGCAAGGAUUUUCUUUUGCCCCGUGGAACUCCACCCCCCUUCUCCUCUGUCUGUGUACCCACCACAUCCUCUCCAAAUCUUAUCCAGAGAUUUGGGGGAACCUCAGAACAGAUUUAGGAGCCUUGUGGAGAGAGGAGAGAGAGGAAAAGUUCUGUUAUACAGCCAGGAGUCAUGGUGUUAACAGAACUGCUUAAUCAGAUACCACACUCAGCUUGAGGGGAUGAACAUGCUUUCAUGUUUCCCCACUGGUCAUAUUGCAUGUCUUUAUUUCUUUUCAAUCUCCCCAAAUGAUGUUUUUAGGAAUUUAGAGUGGCUGGAUUCCCUGAGCAAGUUAUUCUCUAGUCUGGUGUGUCCAAUGUAGACUUGGUGACAGGAUGCAAAGGAGCACUGAGCUCUUGUACCUUAAUAGGUGGAUCGAAUAGCUUCCUCCACUGCGGUGUGACAAGCCACAGCUCUUAGUGUUUCUUCUACAAAACAGGACUUUGCAUCCUGUCACCAUAGUGACUGAAAUAGGUUUAGCAUCCUGCACCUUCUCCAGCCUCUUUUGCUUCCCAGAGAUGGUGUUGACCGUGCUCCACGUGAAGCCACCACACCUAUCAACAGUGGUGUUAACCUAAAGAUCAGCUGAGCGGCCAUUUCCCCAUUGGCACAGAGAAGGAAGAAGCAAGACUAAGUCUUUAAACUUAAAUUAUCACUCUCACUCUUCCCCAUCAUUGGCUGCAACUACUUGUCUGAUGUCCAAAAGUUUGUUUUUGGGGGAGAAGACACAGAAGCAAAAGCCAUCUGAGGGAGCUAGUAGAGAUCGGCUCAACAAGUAUCUUGCUACCAUGGGCCUGCUAAUAACAUGGAAGGGUUUUUUAAAUGUUCAUGUUGAUCACCUGCCCCAGAAAGAAGCAUUUAUGCACAGAAGGCUUCUGCAUUCACACACCCCAUUCAAGAAUGGGAUACCACUGGCGUUCCAGCUGUUGCUGGACUACAGCUCCUGUCAUCCCUAACCAUUUGGCCAUAGCAGCUUGGGCUGAUGGGAGUUGGAGUCCAAUAACUUCUGGAGGGACACAUGUUAGCCACCCCUGCUCUAAUAGAAUGAGGAACUGUAUGAACCAAUGGGUGUUGUUACCGUACAAUCGGUUCCCCCGAUGCAUCUGCCAAUCUGUGUUGCAUGUAGUCCAGGUCAGAACACUGUCAGUUUGUAGUCCAUCUCCCCACCCGUCAGAUCCUUCAUCUGCCACGAUUUCUGAUUAUCUGGCAUGGGCUAUGUGUGCAGCCCUAGCUACAGUGCACUUGCAUAGCUGGAUCAGGGUCACUGUUUGUAAAUGGUUUGUGGGUAUUCAAUAUUGUUUAUAUUUUGUGAAGUUGGGAGUUUUGCUCUUCUUUUGGAUGCUGUUCAAGGUGAAUCCUUGUUUUCUGGAACAGCUGUAAUAGGUUGCAGUGAGUUUAAUCAUUUUUAAAAUUGCCAUCGCAUUUCAAGCUGUGAGCUUAUCUGAUCUUACAAGCUAAGCAGGUUUGGGGCUGCCCAACACUUGGGUGGGAGACUGACAAGAAAAGCAAAAAUCCUGCAGGAAGUGUGUUUAGGUAUUCAGGAGCUAGAUUCUGCAAUCUAAAUCAAUACUAAACCAAUAGCCUAGUGCUGCAUAUGAGUGAGAUGUAAAAUCCAAACUAAGUUGAAAGCUUCUUUUGAAGUUUUCAUUUAAAAAAAAUAAAAAUAGCAAUACUUGAUACUCUGAUCUCUUCCCCCAUGCUUUUUAAAAUGUAUUGUUUCAUUUGGAUUAUACUUGCCUCUUAUAACCAAAAUGUAUGAUGGGGUUAAGGCCAUAGAGUAAGAUGUCCUGCCAGACUCAGCUAGCCCUUACCUUGGGUUAUCAAGCCUUUGUUCUCCCAUUCCACCAUGUGAAUCCUACCAGGAAGGAGGUCUGGGCUGGCUGAUCCAAGCCCAGACAGUGUGGCUUAAGCAAGCCAUCUUUGUGUUUCCAUACAAAUAAUUUAGAAACAUUUAUCACUUUUGAACCUGAGUUUUUCUGCCUCCAUUUUCUUACUGUUGUACAGAAAAGCAUGUGAAUCUGGCCUUUGAAGAGUUUGUAAUUAAACCAUUUUUAACUUACCAAAUGUCUGGUCUCUUUUAUGCUAAGGUAAGAGAGGAACUUUAGAAGCAACUUAGAAGGGGAUAUUUUAAAGGUCUAACUGCCUGUAUAUUUCCACACUUUACUUUGCUGCAUAUGUCCAGACUUCAAGUCUCUGCUGGGGUUCUCUCACCAAAGAGUACUUGCCCAAAACUUGGAUCUAGGCAUCCAGGAAUUCUCUUUUUAUAUACCUAUUUUUCUUUUCCGACCAACAAAAGUGAACACAGUAACAUUUACAGUCUGGAAUAUAUAACUGCUUAUACCGACUUGCCUUUUGCUGCACAAGUUUCUAUUCACCACAGAAGCUUUAAUAGCAGACUUAUAUUGACCACUAAGGAUGGUCAUGAGAUCUUAAUGAAGUUGACUAGGAAUAUAGCAAUCAAAUUAUGUGGAAUUUAUUGCAAAUAAACACAAUCAAACAUUACUUAGAUCUAUAAAUUCAAUAGAGCAAUGCAACAGGAACUUGAAACCCUGCAGUUAAAAAGAACCAGCUAGUUCAAAUCAAUACACACUACUUAUUGGCCCUUGUUGUCUCAUCAGAUUACCAGGUCACAAUGUUUCAGUGAGAAAAGGAACUAUAACUGCCAGAAUAUUCCUGUGGCUUUUAUCUUCUGUUCCAUUCCUCUAGCCCCUCUUGUCUCUAAGCCUUAUGCAUCAUCUUGUCCCUGUGGCCCUUUAUUUUUGGUUCCUUUUUUUUUUUAGCUUCAUGUGGCUAUCACUUUUCUUUUUUUAGAUUGUGCAUUUCAUGGCUCUAUAUACAUUAUCCCACUCCCUUUAUCCCAUGUCUCUUAAACGAUGCCCUCCCAAAUAGCAUCAAGCCCAUCAAAGGUUAGCAUAACUGGGCACUGGUCAAAGACCACAUGCCAGCCAGCUCUUUGCUACUGACGCUUAUGACUGGCUCUUGCUCCUUGCUGCCUGUUCACCUGCCCUCUUCAAGUGAGGAGUGAUAAGAAAAAUUAAUGGGGGCUUCUGCUCCCAUCACCCACCUCCUUAGGGGCUUGUGGUACAGAUUAUGCGCAGAGGGAGAGGGAAAAGAAAUGGUCAGUGGCAAAGAAGAAGGAGUGCAGCUCACUGAAGACAGCUUGCUCAAGGGCCUCUGCAAACCUGAAGCAUGGAGCUCAUUUUAAGUGUUGUUUGCAGCAGACUUCAACCUAGUGCCCUCUACAUGUUUUAGAAAACAACUCUCAUAAGUCCUGGCCAGCCUCCCCAUUUCCCACUUAUUGCUCCAGUUUUUAGCGUGGGUUUUUUUUUUAAACAUCCUCUGCUCUUUACCUCAAGCAACCUUGCCCACCUAUCCUUCCUGCCAAUUGCCUUUUCUCAAGUCCAAGCUAGUCAUGACAUGUCUUCUCAAUCAAUCCGGGCUUGGGGAAGCAGCUGGGGAUUUGCAGCACAGUCUUAGGCGUGUUUAGUCAAACGUAACUCCUGUUGAGUUCAAGGGCGCUCACUCCCUGACAAGGCAGUUCAGGAUGGCAGUCUGAACACAGGCAUUUUGGGGUCAGGAGCAAGAUGUGCUUCACAAUGGUUAUCAGUUCUAUAGUAUGGGUAAUUGAGGCCAAAGUUCUUCAAGAGCAGCAGGAUUGUGUUUUAAGUUCUUUGCCAGGUAGGAUGAACUCCUGUGAUGUCUUUCCCUAUAUACAGGAGAGUUAACUGCCUAGUGUGCACACUCAAAUAUUUACCAUAAGCCUUAUUGGUGAUCAUCUUCCCCAGCUCCAUGGUACAUAAAUCUCAUAGCGUAGAAGGCUUGAAAGGCUAAUUUCUCAUUUAUUUACGUUGCAGGACACUCAGGCUUUCUGACGGAGCAUAACCUGUUAUUCUAAUCACUCUGCUAUUCAAAUCCAAACGUUGUAGUCACUCCCCCCACUACACACACUUCAAGAAGAAGAAAAAGUUAUCUGCAUGCAGCUUUCAGCUCCUGCUGCUAAUUCCAUCAGGAAUAGCACCCUGGGGAAGCCUUCGAUUUUCAGACUGUCUCAGCCCAUUCAGGCAUAUCUUCCAGUAGUCGAUCCAAGAGGCUGGUUCCAAGUAAGGGGGUGGGAGGGAAUGAGAAGGUAAGGAUGCUGUCAUUUUGGAUGUACAGUUUGUGAAAUAGCUGCCUGUUUCUUCAUAGAUGAUGGAAAUCUGUUUUUUUGCUUUUUCUCCGAGGGUGUAAAAGAAAUAAGGGUUGCUUUUGCUCUCCCCACCCGCUUUCCUCCCAAUCACAGAGCAUCUCUUCUCUUACUUGGUUUGGAAGCAUCAGGCAAGCGUUUUCACAAGGCCAAUCAAGAGUGCCUAAUUUCUUUGGCUGCAUAGUAUGUGUUACUAGCAUGUAGAAACUACGUGUUAGUAACACAUACUAUGUUUUUGCAAGUAUACUGUUUAGUUUGUGAGCUUCUAAGGGCUAGGAUGUGUCCUGUACUUCGUAAAGCCCCAUCUCAUCAAUCUAAUAAAUAAUAGUAUUAUUUGCUGUUCUUUGUAAAAGUGUUCAGUUCUGGGUUACCUUUGUAGCUGGGCCCACUCUGGGAUAGAGUAUAUAUGUAGUUUCCCUAUGCUGAAUCAAAUCAUUCAUCCAUCUAGUUCUGUAAUGAUCACACUGAGUGCUAAUAUAUAUGCAUGUCUGUUUUGUUGCUUUGAGCUGACUUUUUUGGGUAGGCCCCUCAUCUCUUUGAAGCUUUCACUCUUGAAUACAGUCACCAGACUUUUAGUUGUCCUCCCACCUUGUGUUAGGCAAGUUUUUUUUUCCUCUUAAAGAAGCCUGGUGGGCAUAUGGUAGUGACAGAGCAGUGAAGUGCAUGACAGACCAGAUGACUGCUAAAAAGUUAGUGCAUAGGAAAAAGUGUGUGUGAUCAGCUCACAUAGGGUGUUCUCAGCUUUUUACUCAAACCUAUGCAUGUCUACUUAGAAGUAAGCACUUCUGAGUUCAGUUAGGGUUAUCUCCUGUAUAGGACCUGAAAUUCAAAUUGUACUUUGUUUCUCUGCCCCUCCCCCCGGGAAAGGCCAUAUGGUGCCUCUUCCAAAUGUAUGUUGAAAGCAUUUAAAUAGAAUGCUGGCAACGUGUUUUCAUGGAAGGAAGCCCAUGUGGACACUUCACCUGUGGUAGUUGCAAGCAAUUGUGAUACUGACUCAAAACUGAUAGUGAAAACUGUCAUUUUGUUUUCAAUGAAUACCAUUGUUUGCUGCCAGUGAAUAAUCUCCUUGCAAAAAAGUGGGAACCUUCAGAUUGUACAGUGGUGCCUCGCAAGACGAAAUUAAUCCGUUCCGCAAGAGUCUUCGUCUAGCGGUUUUUUCGUCUUGCGAAGCAAGCCCAUUGACGGAUUAGCGCUAUUAGCGCUAUCAGCUGUUUAGCGGCUAUUAAAGGCUUAAAGGCUUAGGGGAUUAGCUGCUAAAAGGCUAUUAAAGGCUAUUAAAGGCCUAGCAGAUUAGAUAAAGGGGGGGGAAAGCGAAAAAAAAAUCUCUAGACUCGCAAGGUAUUUUCGUCUUGCGAAGCAAGCCCAUAGGGGAAUUCGUCCUGCGAAGCAACUUCAAAACGGAAAACCCUUUCGUCUAGCGGUUUUUCCGUCUUGCGAGGCAUUCGUCUUGCGGGGCACCACUGUAUAAUACAGCUGCCUUUGCUGGCUCAACCGUAAAGCUUUGGCAAAAAUACAGUUGAAACAGCCCAGGCAGAACUCUAUAUUGCUUACUUAAAAUAAGAUAUUUAUUUGAAGCAGGGGCGCUGGAGAAACAGAAUCCAGACAAACAAAAGAAGAUGAUUUCAUAAAUAGCAGAUUCAUAGUUACUCUCAAGGUCUUAGGCCAGAAGGAAGGGUACAAAAGAUUAAUCAUUAUAUUUGUGGGAACUGAGUCCAUUUUCAUCAAAUGUGGAUUUAGCAAGCUUAUUCAAAAGCAGCUGACCUCUGAACUCCAUUAUUCCAGAGCAGAAGUUACAUAAAGGAAGUAAGAAGUAGCUCAUAAUUGUUUCUCCCAAUAGACCUUUGGAUAAACCUCACCCAGCCCCCUACUUAUUGGUCACAAUGUUCACAGGCCUGAGGAAAACAUGGUUCCUAUCCUCAUGUGAACAGAAGAGCCCUAAUUGCUCAGGUCAGGCAGCAAUGUCAUUGACUGUGCAGAAGUACUUAUUUGUUGUUUGUCCUGAAUCUCCCACCUUUCAGCUUCACUGGAUGAGCCUUGGUUCUAAUAUAUUAUGAGAAGGUGUAAAACUCUGUCCACGUUCUUCACACCUUGCAUGAUUCUGCAAAACUCUGUCAUGUCCUUUAGCAUACCUUUAAAUUCUUUGUUUUCUAACAGCCUAAGGGCCUCUAUAGCUUAGUUAUGUGGAUGUGGAGAGUGCAAGUCUAGUCUGCCAGGCAUGUUUUCCUAGAAGCGAAUACAUUCGCAAGGGGCUAGUAUGUUUAAUGCAUAGGCUUCCUGUGGAGUUUGCCUGGCAAACUCUGACUUACAAUUGACCUCUCAAAUACAUGGCUGUCAGAUUACUGCUUGAAUCCUGGUGGUCCCACUGCACAGUUCAGUUCUCUAUUCAAUGGACCACAGAGGACCAAACUAGAUGUGAGGCUGCAGACAUGGGUGUCACUCACUGCUGCGUCCAUGUAACUGGUGCUUGAGAGGGAGGAAGAUUGAUUGAUUAAAAGUGGUAUGGGGAAUGCAAAGCAACUUCAAGGAGAAAAGUGCAACUGGGGGAAGGGUCCCCUUCAAGCCCUCUGUGCUGUGCUUUGAAUUUUGCCCCAUCCCCUUUACAGAGCAUAUACAGGACUCAGGUAGAACACUGCUUCCAUCUCAUUUAGCUUCUCCUGUUAUUGCCUUUUCCCAUAAACACUGCAUAUUACUGCUACAGCCUCAAACAUGAAACCAAUAACUCUGCACAAGAGACCAAUUUCAAUACCCAUUUGAUGGAGAGAAAUGCUGUUUAGCCGUUUUCCUGCCAUGAGUGUAAGCCAGGCUGCCCUGUACACAAGAGAGGACGAGAAAGGGCACUAUAAUGGAUUAGCUGCGAGAGGGAAUAGUAGUGAAAUCCUCAACUGGAAAUAAAAUCCUUUUUGCAGAAAGCAAUGUUUUAAGCUUUUAGUUACGUGACAUUUAUCUAGAUGUGAUGCGGUCCAGCCAUUCAGAAUCAUAAUAAAGAUGACCUGCUCCAAUAUCCACUUUCUGCAAAAUAUUGUUUUCUUUUGCCUUGUCUUUCAGAUCCGGAAAAGGGAUUGUUGUUUGGUGUCCUGAAGGUCUCUUCAGAAAGUCCCCUCAAUUUGUUUAGAUGUCAUUGUCACCUUUGACAGCGGUCAUUGCUCUUUGUCUUUUAACUACAGAAAGCCUUGUUAGCUGCCCUCCCCACCCCUG